UACGUAGGUGGCAAGCGUUGUCCGGAAUUACUGGGUGUAAAGCGCGUGUAGGCGGGAGGCCAAGUCUGCUGUGAAAUCGCCCGGCUCAACUGGGCGGGGUCGGUGGAAACUGGUCACCUGGAGGACGGUAGAGGCGAGUGGAAUUCCCGGUGUAGUGGUGAAAUGCGUAGAGAUCGGGAGGAACACCAAUGGCGAAGGCAGCACUCUGGGACGUGGACUGACGCUGAGACGCGAAAGCGUGGGGAGCAACAGG
rnacentral:rRNA from 1 species